GUUCAAGGCUUUUGCAAAGCACCAAAAAAAGUCACAUUUCAAGGGAGGAAAAUGAGCAGAAUCCAACACACUCAUAAACAGAACACGAGCUUUUGAUGCCAGAUUAACAUUAGGGAUGAAGUCAGGGAGAAUUCCUUAAAACCCAAAUCAAAAGACUAACUGUCCCUUGUGUGUUGCGCUCAUGACGCUCAAGGCUCUAAAACACACAACAGAACAACAGAGGGGGAGGGGCUGACAGACAUGCCAAAAAACAGAAAGAAUAGAGAAGAGAAGAUGGCAGAUAUUUACACUGGGGUAAUUGAGAAAACCGGGUGGUGGAGGCAGUUAGCAUUUAGUUCUAACACAGAAUAAGCUCAGCUAAUGAGUUGAACAAUAGCCUGACAUUGGCACCCAGCCUGUUUGUAGGUGUUUAUGUACAUAUGCAUUUGUGUGUGAGAGAAAGAGAAAAAGAAAGAGAGUGAGUGGUGUGCUUUUUGAACAGAAUGGUAGGAAUUGAUUUUGUUAAUUGACUUGCCAAUAAUCACAUUUGUAACAUCUUCACUGGCAAGAAAGAAGCUAAACUAGAGGGUUAGCCAGUCAAUGCAGCCAAUAAAGGCUCAACCCACUAACGAGGCAUGAGUUAAUUAAACAUUCUCCAAUUAACAUUUUAAAGGAAAGGCACAGGAAAUGCCUACUAUAGAGUCCUAAAGACUGACAAGUGUUUAUUAUUCACUGUUUUUGUGUUAUGUUAUAUUUAAAUUUUUUGUUCUGUUCUCAAUUUUGUUAUAUUUGUUUAGUAAUUUUUUAAAUCUUUAAUCUGUAAAAAAAUAUAAUAAUAGAAAUCCUUAAGAUGGAAAAAGGAAAGAAAAGGUCAAAUACAGUAUACUACUGGUAGUGUUAUAUUCACAAUGAACAGAAAUGGUGACAUGCAGGGUUACAAGAAAAGGAGAUAAGAAUGGGGUGGACUCUCCCACUGAGGUUACGGCUAACCAGGAAGACAGAAAUAAACAUGGAGACAGAACAGAGAAAAAAUCAGGUCCUUAAAAUCUCCCUUGCAAAACAAUAAAAAAAUAAAAAGCUUGCA
ensembl:lncRNA